CCAUUGGAAGUGUGUAAUGAUAAUUUUCACUUCAAGAAACCAAACUUCUUCCUAAUAAAGCCCUAAAGGUCUACUAGGGUUUCUUUCCACUAUCCCAAGGGCCCCUCUCUGCAAAGUAAAUGGCGGAUCCGCCUUCGAGUCUCGGCAGGCGGAGAAAGCGGCGGCUGGGUUAAGGAGCAGGACAAUACCUUCCAAUAGCUAAUAUAAGCAGGAUCAUGAAGAGGGCGUUGCCUCCCCAACGGAAAUCGGUAAAGAAGACGCUAAAGACACUGUCCAGGAAUGCGUCUCUGAGUUCAUCACCAGCGAGGCGAGUGAUAAGUGCCAGAAAGAGAAGAGGAAAACUGUGAAUGGUGAGGAUUUGUUGUGGGUAGUGACAAAACAUUAGGAUUUGAGGAUUACCUUCCUGGAACCCUUGAAGCUGCAUUCACUUCUUCACCUCACCUUUUUCAAAGCUUUUAUAACUCAAAUACAUUAGUAGUUGUUGUUGGUACUCGACAUGACAGAGAACUGAUUGGGUCUUUUCAGUUGUGUUAGUUUGAACUUCGGUUAUUUAUUUCCAGUUUAGUUGGUUG